UUGUUCGAAUUAUUAUCGAAUCUGUAUCUUCUUCUUCGUCACUCUCUCUUCUCCUUCUUUCCUCUGAUUUGAUUCUUCACCUUAAUUACCCUAAUCCCUAUUUCUGACCUCUAUUUCUGUUAUCUCCUUGAUAAGAACUCCACAAGCUAAACGGCACCGCAAAAUAUAGGUGACGACGGCAGCGGCAAGUAAAGAGCAGACUCCGACUGAACUGUAUUAGCCUAACCAAUCCCAAACUGAGUCGAAGUCGAAGUUGAAGUCACAGACGAAGUCAAACCCCAGCCGGAACUGCUUUGAUUGCUCAUCUUCGGGAUCGAACUGUAGUCACUAAUUCAAAAAAUUAGGGUUUCAAGGUAUUGAAAUUCCAGGGAUUUUCGAAGAAUCAAAGAGGAAUUUAAGGGAGAUUGAAGAAAGUGUGAAGAGCCAUGGAGAGAAUUUAGAGGAAAUUAGUAAGAGAUGCAAUUGGCGGAGGAAAAAUUACAUUCCUUGUUUCCGUUAAACAGCUUCUUAUGGCGUUGAGAGUCCUAUAUAUGCUGUUGUACAGCUUGCUCAGACCACAAUGCGUAGUGAGCUGGGGCUGUUGGUGUGCCUGGGUUUUUUUUUUUGACAUUUUUGUAUUUGAUGAGUGGAAAAUGCUGCAAUCAUAUAGAAGCUUAAAGAAACAACGACUGGAGAUGAGGCUCAAAACAGAAGCGGAGGUAAACAAUUCUAGAAGGUGGAAAUCAUUAAUCUUUAAAUGAAUUUAAUUAUUUGGAGUUUUCAGUUCGGGCCUUCUUGCUUUCUCUCUCUGCUGGCUCUGGUGGUGAGCCUUGACCACUGAUGUCAUUACAGUUUGCAGAGGCUGGUUGUUGGACUUCGGUGCAAUGUUUCUCUGAUGUCUCUGCGGUAAACUCGGUGUUGGGGUAUGGAAACUUGAAUUAAGGUAGACUGCAUUAUAUAUAUCUUUGUUACUAAUUAAAAUAAAGGAGCUAAAAAGAUGUAUAUAAACAUAUGGAAGUUGUGUACCUGUUCAUCAAGUAGGAGGAAAUCUAGGCUGAUUAUUUUACCAUUUUGAUGGAAAGCUUUUGCAUGCCAUUUGCAUAGAACCCGGCCACACACCAUUUGAGGAUCACGUCCUAGCUGUCGGUCCUUCAAUGGAAUUAUACUCAUAAUUGGUAAUUGGUAAUGGUGGUAAGAAUCGAAUAUGGUAAUUUGCUUUAUAUAUAGAAAGAGCCGAGUUUGGGUUUAACCAUGAAGUUAAGAGAUCGUGGAGAUCGUGGUAUAAUUAAGAGAUCGUGGAGGAGAUCGUUUUUUUAAUAUAGGUGUUUGACUUGUUUUUUGGAUAGAGGAUUUUGUCUUAAUUUCGUAGAUAUGGAAAGUGAUGAGUUACGUUUUAAUUUCGUAUAUAUGGGAAGUGAUAAUUUACGAUUUUAUGUAAAUUUUGUAUAUGAUAAUAAAUGUGGAGCAAUACAAUAGGGACAUUAAAUUUCGAAA